rnacentral:ncRNA from 12 species
CCUUCGGAGUAUCAUACAAACGUCAGUAGCCUGUCCUUUGGGACGGCGAGAACGGAUACGAUGAACAAGGAA